UGAGUACGAGAUGCUACGGCAUCGAAGCAGUCUAUGUCAUACUUCCAAGAAAAGCUUGCACUGUCAGAAACAGAUAAUGCCUGUACCAUAACCGACACAGGUGGGUAGGUAGAGUAUACUAAGGGGCGCGAGAUAACUCUCUCUAAGGAACUCGGCAAAAUGACUCCGUAACUUCGGGAGAAGGAGUGCCUUAUUUUUAAGGUUGCAAUAACAAGAUCCAAGCAACUGUUUACCAAAAACACAGGUCUCCGCUAAGUCGUAAGACGAUGUAUGGGGGCUGACGCCUGCCCAGUGCCAGAAGGUUAAAGAAGUCGGUUAGCAUUCGCGAAGCUGGUAACUGAAGCCCUGGUGAACGGCGGCCGUAACUAUAACGGUCCUAAGGUAGCGAAAUUCCUUGUCGGGUAAGUUCCGACCCGCACGAAAGGCGUAAUGAUUUGGAUACUGUCUCGGAGAGGGGCUCGGUGAAAUAGACUUGUCUGUGAAGAUGCGGACUACCUGCACCUGGACAGAAAGACCCUAUGAAGCUUUACUGUAACUUGAAAUUGAAAUUGGACUUUAUUUGCGCAGUAUAGGUGGGAGGCGUUGAAAAUAUUCUUGCGGGAAUAUUGGAGCCAUCAGUGAGAUACCACUCUUGUAAUGUUAGAUUUCUAACUUUAUAUCAUUAUCUGGUUAAAGAACAGUUUCAGGCGGGCAGUUUGACUGGGGCGGUCGCCUCCCAAAUGGUAACGGAGGCGCACAAAGGUUUCCUCUGAACGGGUAGAAAUCGUAUCUAGAGUGUAAAGGCAUAAGGAAGCUUGACUGUGAGACCUACAAGUCGAGCAGGGACGAAAGUCAGUCUUAGUGAUCUGACGGUGCUGAGUGGAAAGGCCGUCACUCAACGGAUAAAAGUUACUCUAGGAUAACAGGCUGAUCUCCCCCAAGAGUUCACAUCGACGGGGAGGUUUGGCACCUCGAUGUCGGCUCAUCGCAUCCUGGGGCGGUAGUACGUCCCAAGGGUUGGGCUGUUCGCCCAUGAAAGCGGUACGCGAGCUGGGUUCAGAACGUCGUGAGACAGUUCGGUCCAUAUCCGGUGUAGGCGUUAGAAUAUUGAGAGGAGCCUUCUUUAGUACGAGAGGACCGAGAAGGACAUACCUCUGGUGUACCAGUUAUCGUGCCAACGGUAAACGCUGGGUAGCUAUGUAUGGAGUGGAUAACCGCUGAAAGCAUCUAAGUGGGAAGCCCACCCCAAGAUAAG
rnacentral:rRNA from 1 species